rnacentral:rRNA from 1 species
AUGCUUGAUCUCAAUGAGUUGCCUCCAGAUCUCAAUGAGCUUCCUCAUGAUAUGGAUCAGCAGCAACCCAGCAUACAACAAAGAAACUGCACAGAAAAUGGUCGAUCUGUUUACUACACGCAGGCAAGUCGUGAUGGUAACCCUACGGGCCAUGACAAUGUGGCAGGCCAGUCAUCAGCCCGUGGUGCCCCUGUAAUGGUGUCUUUGCAGUCAGAGAGCCAUACUCUUGAUGACACAGGAACCGAGGCAAAUGUUCCUGGUCCAACCAGGACUGAGCUAGAAGCUGGGGCUUUUGACAGAGCUGUGCAAGUAGAAGAAGGAGAGGAUGAGGCUGGUUCUCAACCUAUGGAACCCUAUGUUGGCAUGAGAUUUGACAGCCUUCAAAUUGCUAAGGAUCACUACAACAGUUACGCACUACGGAUGGGUUUCUCUAUCAAGAUGAACACAUCUAGACGGACACCCCGCACCAAUGAAUUGAUAAAACAACAGUUUUGCUGCAACAAGUUCAAGAAGCCCAAAGCUGAUGAUGGAGGAGCUGAGGCUCCUCCUUACCUGGACCCUAUUCCGGAUCCAACAUCUGUUAACAGUGAUGACGAGAUGGAAAAAGAACCUUCAAUAUUUGCUGAAGAGGAUGCUGGUACUAGUAAGAAGAAGAAGCGCAAACGUGAGACAAUAAAGCAGACUGAAUGCAAGGCGAAAAUGUUGGUAAAGCUGAUAGAUGGGCGAUGGGAGGUGACGCACUUUGUUCGUGACCACAAUCAUCCGCUCGUGAACAAACCUUCAUUGUCCAAAUACUUGAGAUCCCACCAAGGCAUCUCACCUGAUGAAAAGGAGUUUCUGCGCAUCUUGUAUAACUGCAACUUGACUACAGGACGAAUGAUGCAUGUAAUGGCAGAGUUCUAUGGAUCUGAGAUGAUGGUGCCGUUCGGACCAAAGGCAAUAACAAAUCUUUGUACAAGUUUCCGUAGAGAUGACACAAAGGAGGGUGAUCUGAUUGAGACAAUUGCGCACUUCAAGGAUAUACAGAAAACCGAUCCAGACUUCUUCUAUAAGGUGAAAUAUGAUGAAGAGGACAGAGUUGUCAACAUAUUUUGGGUGAACGGCUUAGCUCGAAAAGCUUAUGCGGAGGCGUACCACGAUUGCAUAUCGUUUGACACCACCUACAUGACCAACUUGUACAAUAUGCCGUUCGCGUCCUUCAUAGGAAUAAACCGACAUGGCCAAUCUUUCAUGCUGGGUUGCGCGUUUGUGAGGCAGGAGUUGGCAUCGAGCUUUGAUUGGGUCUUUGGAGCAUUCCUAGAGGCUAUGGAUGGCAAACCUCCUGACAACUUCAUCACCGAUCAGGAUGGUGCGAUGAGGCAGUCAAUACAGAGCAUCUUUCCAAUCACCGUGCACCAUUGUUGUCGAUGGCACAUCAUGAAAAAGGCUCAGGAAAAGGUUGGUUGGUUGCUGUGCUGGAAUCCAGGACUCUCUGAUGAUUUCAACAAGUGUGUUGACUUCAGCUUCACUAUAGAUGAGUUUGAGCAGAAUUGGACUGGGUUAAUGAUGAAGUAUGAGGCUAUGGCACACACGCACUUUGAGAAGUUGUACGAAUACAGGUCAACUUGGGUGCCGUGCUACUUCAAACACAGGUUCUUUCCCUUCCUCCAGUCUACACAGCGUAGUGAGGGGUUCAACGCCGUCCUUAAAAGAUAUGUGAACCCACACAACUCAAUGUUGAAUUUCGUCAAGCAAUAUGAAAAAAUACAGAACCACAUCAUUGCCAAGGAAGGCUGCAAUGAUUACAGGACACAACACCUUGAGAUUGAGUUGUGGUCCAACUUCCCAAUAGAGAAGCAAGCUUACAAAACCUAUACUAGAGACCUUUACCGCAAGUUUAGAGAAGAGUUUGAGCUGAUUGGACGUUAUAAUGCAUUCCAAGUUGGUGCUGAUGUGUUUGAGCUCAGACCGAACCAGGAAUUUGUUGCGAAAUAUGGUUCUCGAAACUACUUGGUGCAGGCAAGGGUGGAGGAGCGUUUCUAUUUGUGUGAGUGUUGUAAAAUGGACAAGGACGGCAUCCUCUGUUGCCACAUCCUCAAGGUGUUCACCCAUGUUGGCGUUGAUGUCAUACCGGAAAGGUACCUGCUAAGACGGUGGACACCUACUGCUGUACCUAGUGCUCCAGGGACUGGUUAUGAGAAACCGGAUGAAAUGCCUCCUCAAUCAAAGAAGCAGAUAAGGGAGAGGAACAUGAUAUACGAUUUUUGGAAACUAGCAAAGUUUGCGAGUGGUUCUGAUCCAGCACAAGCUAUUGUAUACAAGCAUAUGCGUGCAGCACGUACCGAGAUCGGCCACCUGAACAAGUCCAAGAAAAGGAAAAAACCGACUGCUGCAACGGGGCCAUCAGAUGAUGGCAACCCUCGAGGACCUCCUCCACCUCUAGGCAGCAAUCAGGGGACUCAUCAUCCAGGUAAUUACCUGCCCCAACUCCUGAUCUAA